rnacentral:rRNA from 1 species
GCAUAUCAAUAAGCGGAGGAAAAGAAACCAACAGGGAUUGCCCUAGUAACGGCGAGUGAAGCGGCAACAGCUCAAAUUUGAAAUCUGGCCCUCGUGGUCCGAGUUGUAAUUUGUAGAGGAUGCUUUUGGUGCGGUGCCUUCCGAGUUCCCUGGAACGGGACGCCAGAGAGGGUGAGAGCCCCGUACGGUUGGACACCUACCCUAUAUAUAGCUCCUUCGACGAGUCGAGUAGUUUGGGAAUGCUGCUCUAAAUGGGAGGUAAAUUUCUUCUAAAGCUAAAUACCGGCCAGAGACCGAUAGCGCACAAGUAGAGUGAUCGAAAGAUGAAAAGCACUUUGAAAAGAGGGUUAAAUAGCACGUGAAAUUGUUGAAAGGGAAGCGUUUGCGACCAGACUUUUUCCAGGGGGAUCAUCCGGUGUUCUCACCGGUGCACUCCGCCUGGUUUAGGCCAGCAUCGGUUCUCUUAGGGGGAUAAAGGCUUGGGGAACGUAGCUCCUUCGGGAGUGUUAUAGCCCCUUGCGUAAUACCCUUCGGGGGACCGAGGAUCGCGCUCUGCAAGGAUGCUGGCGUAAUGGUCGUCAACGACCCGUCUUGAAACACGGACCAAGGAGUCGAACAUUUGUGCGAGUGUUUGGGUGUUAAACCCUCACGCGUAAUGAAAGUGAACGGAGGUGAGAGCCCUUACGGGUGCAUCAUCGACCGAUCCUGAUGUCUUCGGAUGGAUUUGAGUAAGAGCAUAACUGUUCGGACCCGAAAGAUGGUGAACUAUGCGUGGAUAGGGUGAAGCCAGAGGAAACUCUGGUGGAGGCUCGCAGCGGUUCUGACGUGYAAAYCGAUMGUCAAAUCUGCGCAUGGGGGCGAAAGACUUAUCGAACCAUCUAGUAGCUGGUUACCGCCGA